rnacentral:lncRNA from 1 species
UCUUAUUCUUCUUAUCAAUUUUCGUGUUUCGUUUCUUCUGGAUUCACAGUGGAAGAAGAACUUGCAACAUGGAGAGAUUCGGAGGCGGUGGUGGUGGUGGUGAUACUCUACAACUUGAUUCGAAUUCAUCAGGGAAGAGGAAGACGGUGUGAAGGUUGUGCGAGUUGAGUUGAGAAUCUAAACAACCCAUACAUAAGUGAUACCAGCCAUGAUAGAUUUAAAUUAACGGCUAAACAAAUUGUACGCUUGGAGCUUAGUAGAAUACGAAAGGGUCAUCAUGCUUGAAUGAAAAUCUUUUUCGUAUUUAUAUAUGGAGAUGUCUUUAAUGUCUGCACUCUGAAAUUAAAGAUGGAACGAGGAACCUCGGAAGGAAAUUGAAGAGUCAAUGACUUUUGCCAAGAGACACUCAACAGGCCCCAAAACCUAUCAAGGAGAUCAAGAAGUUUGCACAAAAAGCCAUGGGAACCACUAACGUAAGAGUGGAAGUCAGAUUAAACAAAUACGUUUACAGCCGCGGAAUCAGAAAUGUAUCAAACACAUCGAGCUUCGUAUAGUUGAAGGGUUGACUAUAGUUCAGUCUCCACGGUCUUUUAUAGGUCAACAUAGCAGCAGCCUCUAGAGCUUCAGCACAACAUUUAUAUAAGUUUUAAGGCUAAGAAGGCAACACUUGAAGACCUAGAAGAGAGGGGAAGAAGAGGUCCGAUAGAUGAUCCGAAGAAGCUCCCAAAGUAGAAUUAUGAUGGGUCUUGUGGGUUUGAGUCAUAUGGUUCUAACCAGGCUGAGUUUAGGUGACAUGGACUGUUUUAGAAAGUGGUCGACUGGUUUGGGUUAGAACGAGUUCGGGUUUGAGUGGGUUCCGGCAAAACUGAAUACGGUUCAAAUCGAAGUAUUUAAAAAAGUGGUCAUUUUGGUUUGGGCAGAACGAUUUUAUAGCGUUGGGCAGGGUAACGGGUCGUAGAAGGUUCGGGUCUCAAUGUGUUCCAACCAAAAUUGAGUACAGGUCAAAAGAUGUUGUUUUAAAUUGGGGUCAUUUGGUAGCUCUGUGCUUAUUAAAUUUUUGCAGACACAAAUGAUAUGGUUGAUAAAGCAAUCAUUUUCUUUAUAGUGAACUAGGUUAGAAC